rnacentral:rRNA from 1 species
AGGGUUUGAUCAUGGCUCAGAACGAACGCUGGCGGCAUGCCUUAUACAUGCAAGUCGAACGAGAAAGUCACUUCGGUGGCGAGUACAGUGGCGCACGGGUGAGUAACGCGUAGAUGAUCUACCCUUCAGUCUGGGACAACUCUUGGAAACGGGAGCUAAUACCGGAUAAAACCUUCGGGUUGAAAGAUUUAUCGCUGGGGGAUGAGUCUGCGUACCAUUAGCUUGUUGGUGGGGUAACGGCCUACCAAGGCGACGAUGGUUAGCGGGUCUGAGAGGACGAUCCGCCACACUGGAACUGAGACACGGUCCAGACUCCUACGGGAGGCAGCAGUAGGGAAUAUUGCGCAAUGGGGGCAACCCUGACGCAGCAAUGCCGCGUGAGUGAAGAAGGCCUUCGGGUCGUAAAGCUCUUUUAUGGGGGAAGAUGAUGACGGUACCCCAUGAAUAAGCACCGGCUAACUACGUGCCAGCAGCCGCGGUAAUACGUAGGGUGCGAGCGUUGUUCGGAAUUACUGGGCGUAAAGGGCGUGCAGGCGGAUUGGCAAGCCGGAGGUGAAAGCCCGGGGCUCAACCCCGGAGGGUCUUUCGGAACUGCCAGUCUUGAGAGGGUCAGGGGCCAGCGGAAUUCCUGGUGUAGAGGUGAAAUUCGUAGAGAUCAGGAGGAACACCGGCGGCGAAAGCGGCUGGCUGGGGCCACUCUGACGCUGAGGCGCGAAAGCGUGGGGAGCAAACAGGAUUAGAUACCCUGGUAGUCCACGCCGUAAACGAUGGGCACUAAGCGUCCGACGGGUUCGACCCUGUUGGGUGCUGCAGUUAACGCGUUAAGUGCCCCGCCUGGGGAGUACGGUCGCAAGACUAAAACUCAAAGGAAUUGA